rnacentral:rRNA from 1 species
GUAGUCCACGCCGUAAACGAUGAAUGCUAGACGUUGGCGAGCAUGCUUGUCAGUGUCGAAGCUAACGCAUUAAUCAUUCCUGAUGGGGAGUACGGUCGCAAGACUAAAACUCAAAGGAAUUGACGGGGGCCCGCACAAGCGGUGGAGCAUGUGGUUUAAUUGGAAGCAACGCGCAGAACCUUACCAACCCAUGACAUGGGACGUAUGGGCUUGAGAGAUCGGGUCCUUCAGUUCGGCUGGCGUCCACACAGGUGCAGCAUGGCCGUAGUCAGCUCGUGCCGUGAGGUGUUGGGUUAAGUCCCGCAACGAGCGCAACCCUUAUCUUUAGUUGCCAGCACGUCAUGGUGGGGACUUUAAAGGGCCUGCUUGCGCAAGCAGAGAGGAAGGAGGGGAUGACGUCAGGUCAUCAUGGCCCUUACGUCCAGGGCUACACCCGUGCUACAAUGGCGUAUACAAAGUGUUGCAAGCCAGCGAUGGUGAUCCAAUCACAAAAAGUACGUGUCAGUUCGGAUUGCAGGCUGCAACUCGCCUGCAUGAAGUUGGAAUCGCUAGUAAUCGCGCAUCAGCAAUGGCGCGGAG